rnacentral:lncRNA from 1 species
GGAAGUGGCCCAUGCCUUACCUGCCACUGCUGGUCUUCUGCCUCUGGGAAGGUUUUCACAGUCACGUGAGCACCCCCAACUGUAUGCCAGGAAGCAGUUUACAGAACACUGGCACCCCAACAUCACAGUUCUAUCUCCUAACAAUCUCAUGAGCAUGUCGGGGGAGCUAGGCAUUUCUGACCCAACCCGCUGUGUGCAGACUGAGCCUGCAACCCUGGACCCCAAUAAAUGCAAACAGCUGGUCACAGGGGUGAUGGCUGACUCGGUUCCAUCAACAGAAUGUCUCAGAAGAGCACAUGGCAGCAAUCUCUUAUUCCAGAGCUGCACCAUCCACUAGGUAGUCACUGACCCCUUGUCACUACCGAGCCUAUGACAUGUGGCUUGUCUGGAUCGAGAUGGGCUGAAGGUAUAAAAAUACAGGAUUCCAAAGAUUUGGUACAAAUAAAAGGGAUAUAAAAUAUCUCAUUAAUAGUUUUCUUAAUAUUGAUUACCUGUUAACAUGAUAACCUUUUGGAUAUACUGGGCUAAAUAUAUUAUGAAAAUUAAUUCCACCUGUUUCUCAUUGUUUAAUGUGACUAACAGAAAAUCUGAAAUUACCUAGGUGGCUCACACUGUAUUUCUACUGCAUGGUCCUGUUUCAGAACAUCUGCCUGGCUUUCAACUUCAGAUUCAGGCAGGGUUCUAACUGUUCUCGGAUAUGACUGAGACAGACACCUCUUGUCCGUCUUGAAUAUCUCCCUAAAGCUACAAUGUACUGGCUUCCAAGUGAUACUUUUAAUUGGGCUGAACAAUCUUACUAUCCAAUAACCCACUGCCAAGCUCAAGUAUAAACUAAGAAAAAAGGCAAGGUCAGAUGUGCACCCAGAAGCUAGACCAGCUCAGUGGGGUGACAACCUCUUCCAAAAUUUUCUCAAUCACUUCUGAGACCCACAGCGUGCUUUUAAAAAACAGUAAUAGGCCAGGCGCGGUGGUUCACACCUGUAAUCCCAGCACUUUGGGAGGCCAAGGCGGGUGGAUCACUGGAGCUCAGGAGUUAGAGACCAGCCUGGCCAACAUGGCAAAACCCCGUCUCUAUAAAAAAAAAAAAAAAAAA